ACCCUUACCUGGAACGAGAGACGCCAUGAUCGCGAAGCCAGUUUCCCAGGACAAUGGUUUCUCAUUGCACUGUGGGUGUGUCAGCCUCUGUGAUUCCCCCAAAUGUGCAGAACGCACUAUAUAAUUUGCGAUAGUGGGAGGCUAUGUUUGUGCUUGCCCUUU